AUGGAAAAGGAAAAGACUCAUAUCAACAUUGUUGUCAUUGGACACAUGUUGUGCAUUUUAGAUGCACAUUUUAGAUAGAUUUGGGCAAGUCUACCACCACUGGCCAUCUAAUCUACAAAUGCAGUGGCAUUGACAAAAGAACCAUUGAAAAAUUUGAGAAGGAGACUGCUUAGAUGGGAAAGGGCUCCUUCAAGUAUGCCUGGGUCUUGGAUAAACUGAAAGCCAAGCAUGAACAUGUUAUCAACAUUGAUAUCUCCUUGUGGAAAUUCGAGACCAGCAAGUACUACAUGACUAUCACUGAUGCCUCAGGACACAGAGACUUCAUCAAAAACAUGUUUACAAGGACAUCUCAGGCUGACUGUGCUGUCCUGAUUGUUGCUGCUGGUGUUGGUGAAUUUGAAGCUAGUAUCUCCAAGAAUGGGCAGACCCGAGAGCAUGCCCUUCUGGCUUAGAGACUGGGUAUGAAACAGCUAAUUGUUGGUGUUAACAAAAUGGAUUCCACUGAGCUACCCUACAGCCGGAAGAGAUAUGAGGAAAUCAUUAAGGAAGUCAGGACUUACGUUAAGAAAAUUGGCUACAACCCUCCCAGAGUAGCAUUUGUGUGAAUUUCUGGUUGGAAUAGUGACAACAUGCCAGAGCCAAGUGCUAACAUGCCUUGGUUCAAGGGUUGGAAAGUCACCCGUAAGGAUAGCAAUGCUAGUGGAACUACUCUGCUUGAGGCUCUGGAUUUCAACCUACCACCAACUUGUCCAACUGACAAGCCCUUGUGCCUGCCUCUCCAGGAUGUCUAUAAAAUUGGUGGUAUUGGUACUGUUCCUGGUGGCCAAGCAAAUACUGGUGUUCUCAAACCUGGUAUGGUGGUUACCUUUGCUCCAGUCAAUGUUACAACUGAAGUGAAAUCUGUUUAAAUGCACCAUGAAGCUUUGAAUGAAGCUCUUCCUGGGGACAAUGUGGGCUUCAAUAUCAAGAAUGUGUCUGUCAAGGAUGUUCGCCAUGGCAACGUUGCUGGUAACAGCAAGAACAACCUGCCAAUAGAAGCAGCUGGCUUCAUUGUUUAGGUGAUUAUCUGAACCAUCCAGGCCAAAUCAGUGCUGGCUAUGCCACUGUACUGGAUUGCCACACGGCUCACAUUGCAUACAAGUUUGUUGAGCUGAAGGAAAAGACUGAUUGCUGUUCUGGUAAAAAGCUGGAAGAUGGUCAAACUUCUUGAAGUCUGGUGAUGCUGCCAUCAUUGAUAUGGUUCCUGGCAAGCCCAUGUGUGUUGAGAGCUUCUCAGACUAUCCAGCUCUGGGUCACUUUGCCAUUCGUGAUAUGAGAGAGACAGUUGCAGUGGGUGUCAUUAAAGCAGUGGACAAGAAGGCUGCUGGAGCUGGCAAGGACACCAAGUCUGCCCAGAAAGCUCAGAAGGCUAAAUGAAUAUUAUCCCUAAUACCUGCCACCUCAGUCUUAAUCAGUGGUAGAAGAACAGUCUCAGAACUGUUUGUUUCAAUUGGCCAUUUAAGUUUAGUAAUAAAAGACUGGUUAAUGAUAACAAUGCAUUGUAAAA